GUUGGAGAUAGUUGGAGAUAGUUAGAGAUAGUUAGAGUUAGAGGUAGUUAGAGGUAGUUAGAGGUAGUUGGGGGAUAGUCAGAGGUAGUCAGAGGUAGUCAGAGGUAGUCAGAGGUAGUCAGAGGUAGUCAGAGGUAGUCAGAGGUAGUCAGAGGAUAGUCGGGGGAUAGUUAGAGGUAGUUAGAGGUAGUUAGAGGUAGUUAGAGGUAGUUAGAGGUAGUUAGAGGUAGUUAGAGAUAGUUAGAGGUAGUUAGAGAUAGUUAGAGGAUAGUUAGAGGAUAGUUAGAGGUAGUUAGAGAUAGUUGGAGAUAGUUG
ensembl:lncRNA